UACGAAGGUCCCGAGCGUUGUUCGGAAUCACUGGGCGUAAAGGGAGCGUAGGCGGCGCGAUAAGUCAGAUGUGAAAUCCCGGGGCUCAACCCCGGAACUGCAUCCGAUACUGCCGUGCUAGAGGAUUGGAGAGGUAGCUGGAAUUCUUGGUGUAGCAGUGAAAUGCGUGGAGAUCAAGAGGAACACUCGUGGCGAAAGCGAGCUACUGGACAAUAUCUGACGCUGAGGCUCGAAGGCCAGGGUAGCGAAAGGG
rnacentral:rRNA from 1 species